AAGAGCACCAUUAACGCAGCAUUUAAUGGGGUGCUUAGACCAAAAGAAUGAUUUAAUUAAAUCAAAAAUAAUAGAAAGGUUAACUUCGAUGCUUAGCUUAGGUUUUUUGGUGAGCAAAUUUUUAGUGGGUUGCAAACCAUGUGUCACCAACCAAUUCGACCGAGUUUUCUUUUUCUUUUUCUUUUCUUUCUUUUCUUUCUUUCUUUCUUUCUUUCUUUCUCUUUCUCGACGAUCUCCUCUGCGUUCUCGGCCGAACCGACGAUCGGAACCGAUGACGACUCUCUUGUCCUCACGGAGUCUCGUCCCACUUGUCUCGUCUUCUCCAUCGGAUCAAGGAUCGAAACCGACGACGGACGACGUCUCUCUGGCUCCUCACGGAGAUUCCUCCGCCUUGUCGGCCUAAACCGAUGAUCGAAACCGAGGACGACUCUGUUGGCUCCUCUGUCGACGACUCUGUCCGUGUUGACGGCAUUGGAAUCUUAUGAAUGUUGAUUGUGGAUUCAGUUUCUGAUUCUCUGAGUUCUCUCUCACUAAAGAGAAUCUUUGUGGAUUCAGUUUUUGCACCUUUGGUUCCGUUGAUUGGUCUUCGAGCUGUAUUGGUGUUGUCUGGUUACGUUGUCACCAACUUGGCCUUUGUAUUUGCUGCUCUCUAUCUCUUCGGAGUUUCAGUUAUUAUCUUGAAGGACAAUGAAGCUUCAUUCUGAGCUUUCUUGUGAGGUUCAAGUAAUGGGAGCAGUCAGGAUUGUACUCAGAGUUGUAUCACGAGUGGUACGAGCUGUAGUUGUCUCCUUCUAUCACAAGUUCUUCUAUCUUUUUUUUUGACCAUAUAUGGCUUCUUCAUCUCAAAACACUGAAUCAUUUGAUGAUGCAUUUGAUCAAAUGUUUGUUAAAAAAUUUGAUCAAAUGUUUGAAAAUUUGACCAUUUCUUUUUUUAAGAACCCAUGAAUAAAAUGCUUGCAUUGGAGGAGAUU